UAGGGAAUCUUCGGCAAUGGGGGGAACCCUGACCGAGCAACGCCGCGUGAGUGAAGAAGGUUUUCGGAUCGUAAAGCUCUGUUGUUAAGGAAGAACGAGUGUGAGAAUGGAAAGUUCAUACUGUGACGGUACUUAACCAGAAAGGGACGGCUAACUACGUGCCAGCAGCCGCGGUAAUACGUAGGUCCCGAGCGUUGUCCGGAUUUAUUGGGCGUAAAGCGAGCGCAGGCGGUUAGAUAAGUCUGAAGUUAAAGGCAGUGGCUCAACCAUUGUAGGCUUUGGAAACUGUUUAACUUGAGUGCAGAAGGAGUGAGUGGAAUUCCAUGUGUAGCGGUGAAAUGCGUAGAUAUAUUGAGGAACACCGGUGGCGAAAGCGGCUCUCUAGUCUGUAACUGACGCUGAGGCUCGAAAGCGUGGGGAGCGAACAGG
rnacentral:rRNA from 1 species